CACACUAUGCUGCUAGAUGCCAGAAGCAAGGAAGUCAGUUUGUCAUAGACCGAAAUCUCCAAAACAGCAAGCCAAAAGAUUUUUGUCUUGGUUUUGGAACAGUAAUGCUGAGUUCAUAGCAUGGACUUGGAAGUGGUCUCUCCCAGGUCUAUUAUCAGCAGAACACAUGACCUGGAGAAAGACAGGACAAAGAAUUAAAAUAAGAAAUAUGCUUCUGAAAGUGACAUUCAUCCAAAAGUCACCCAUGUGUUUAGAUCAAUUUAUUCUAAUGCUCUCCAGACAAAGAGAACGCCCCCACAUUUCUAUCUACAAUAGUUCCAGAUAGGACAAAGGAAAAAUAACAAAAUUAGCAAGAAAAAGACUCGCUAUUUCCCUGCAGGUAACAAAGAAUGCCUGAAACUUGUUGGGAUUAUUGAAAGUAAUAAAGGUUGUGAUUACCAAAAAUCAUAAA